AGUUUGAUUAUGGCUCAGGAUGAACGCUGGCGGCGUGCCUAACACAUGCAAGUCGAGCGGAGUUAACAGAAGAUUCUUCGGAUGAUUUGUUAACUUAGCGGCGGAUGGGUGAGUAACACGUGGGUAAUCUGCCCUGCACAGGGGGAUAACAGCUGGAAACGGCUGUUAAUACCGCAUAUGCACACGUUAUCGCAUGAUAGAGUGUGGAAAGAUUUAUCGGUGCAGGAUGAGCCCGCGUCGGAUUAACUUGUUGGCAGGGUAACGGCCUACCAAGGUGAUGAUCCGUAGCCGGCCUGAGAGGGCGACCGGCCACAUUGGGACUGAGACACGGCCCAAACUCCUACGGGAGGCAGCAGUGGGGAAUAUUGCACAAUGGGCGCAAGCCUGAAUGCAGCGACGCCGCGUGAAGGAAGACGUAUUUCGGUAUGUAAACUUCUAUCAGCGGGGAAGAAGAUGACGGUACCCGACUAAGAAGCCCCGGCUAACUACGUGCCAGCAGCGGC
rnacentral:rRNA from 1 species